rnacentral:rRNA from 1 species
UACGUAGGUGGCAAGCGUUGUCCGGAUUUAUUGGGUUUAAAGGGUGCGUAGGCGGCCCUGUAAGUCAGUGCUGAAAUAUCCCGGCUUAACCGGGAGGGAGGCAUUGAUACUGCGGGGCUAGAGUACAGAUGAGGUAGGCGGAAUUGACGGUGUAGCGGUGAAAUGCUUAGAUAUCGUCAAGAACACCUAUAGCGAAGGCAGCUUACUAGGCUGUAACUGACGCUGAGGCACGAAAGUGUGGGGAUCAAACAGG